rnacentral:rRNA from 1 species
UACGAAGGGGGCUAGCGUUGUUCGGAUUUACUGGGCGUAAAGCGCACGUAGGCGGAUUGUUAAGUCAGGGGUGAAAUCCCGGAGCUCAACUCCGGAACUGCCUUUGAUACUGGCAAUCUUGAGGCUGGAAGAGGUUAGUGGAAUUCCCAGUGUGAGAGGUGAAAUUCGUAGAUAUUGGGAAGAACACCAGUGGCGAAGGCGGCUAACUGGUCCAGAUCUGACGCUGAGGUGCGAAAGCGUGGGGAGCAAACAGG